AUGUUUCUCCUGGUUCUCUUGAUAUUUUCUCCUCUUAAGGAGAAUGCUGAUGCUGAAGUGAUAACACCAUUCCUCACAGAGCAGUAUGUUUUGGCAGGAAAAGAUAUUACUCUUUCCUGCAACUACAGUGGCUAUGUUCAGAAUUUACAGUGGUAUCGUCAGUAUCCCCGAUACAAACCUGAGAACAUAAUUUUUCACACUGAGAGCAACGGUCAUUCAGAGCCCAAGCUUCGUCUGUCUUCUGUGGCCAAUAAAGGAAUUAAGCUUAUGAAUUUGAGCAUAUCUACUACAAAGCUGGAAGAUUCUGCUCUGUACUACUGUGCCCUGCAGCCCACAGUGACAGGAAACACAACUGCACUGUACAAAAACUUUCUUAUGGCCUAUUCUUACUAG